rnacentral:rRNA from 1 species
AUUGAACGCUGGCGGCAUGCUUUACACAUGCAAGUCGAACGGCAGCGCGGGGCAACCUGGCGGCGAGUGGCGAACGGGUGAGUAAUAUAUCGGAACGUACCCAGAAGUGGGGGAUAACGUAGCGAAAGUUACGCUAAUACCGCAUACGAUCUACGGAUGAAAGUAGGGGACCGCAAGGCCUUAUGCUUUUGGAGCGGCCGUUAUCUGAUUAGCUAGUUGGUGAGGUAAAGGCUCACCAAGGCGACGAUCAGUAGCUGGUCUGAGAGGACGACCAGCCACACUGGAACUGAGACACGGUCCAGACUCCUACGGGAGGCAGCAGUGGGGAAUUUUGGACAAUGGGCGCAAGCCUGAUCCAGCAAUGCCGCGUGAGUGAAGAAGGCCUUCGGGUUGUAAAGCUCUUUUGUCAGGGAAGAAACGGUAGAGGCUAAUAUCCUUUGCUAAUGACGGUACCUGAAGAAUAAGCACCGGCUAACUACGUG